CAGCAGCCGCGGUAAUACGUAGGUGGCAAGCGUUGUCCGCAAUUUCUGGGUGUAAAGGGAGCGUAGGCGGGGAUCCAAGUUGAAUGUUUAAACUAUCGGCUCAACCGGUAGUCGCGUUCAAAACUGCAUCUCUUGAGUGGAGUAGAGGCAGGCGGAAUUCCUAGUGUAGCGGUGAAAUGCGUAGAUAUUAGGAGGAACACCAGUGGCGAAGGCGGCCUGCUGGGCUCUAACUGACGCUGAGGCUCGAAAGCGUGGGUAGCAAACAGGAUUAGAUACCCUGGUAGUCCACGCCGUAAACGAUGAUUACUAGGUGUGGGGGGACUGACCCCUUCCGUGCCGGAGUUAACACAAUAAGUAAUCCACCUGGGGAGUACGACCGCAAGGUUGAAACUCAAAGGAAUUGACGGGGGCCCGCACAAGCAGUGGAGUAUGUGGUUUAAUUCGAAGCAACGCGAAGAACCUUACCAGGUCUUGACAUCGAGUGACGAAUGUAGAGAUACAUUCUUCCUUCGGGACACGAAGACAGGUGGUGCAUGGUUGUCGUCAGCUCGUGUCGUGAGAUGUUGGGUUAAGUCCCGCAACGAGCGCAACCCUUAUCAUUAGUUGCUACGCAAGAGCACUCUAAUGAGACUGCCGUGGAUAACACGGAGGAAGGUGGGGAUGACGUCAAAUCAUCAUGCCCUUUAUGACCCGGGCUACACACGUACUACAAUGGCACUCAAACAGAGGGAUGCAACGUCGCGAGGCGAAGCGGAACCCAAAAAAGUGUCUCAGUUCAGAUUGUAGGCUGCAACUCGCCUACAUGAAGUCGGAAUUGCUAGUAAUCGCAGAUCAGCAUGCUGCGGUGAAUACGAUGCCGGGCCUUGCACUCACCGCCCGUCAA
rnacentral:rRNA from 1 species